CGACAUGUUAGGUCAGGUUGGGGAGGAAGGAGCCCAGGUCAUGUGAAAAUUGAGUUUCUCUAAUGCAGGUCUUGAGUGAACGGCGGCCUCAACACACUUCCAUUAUACAUAAUUAGUGCAGGAAUGCCAUAACCCUUUAAAAUGAGUGUACAUGUAGUGAAGGUUGUGUUAAGCGGCUGACUGAGCGACUCUCAACUUGGCAAGGACAAAAUGUCAACAAAGUGGCGUUGCGUCACUCGCUAGUCAAAAGAUAUUUUAAUUGUUCUGCCCACCCAUAUACGGAUUCUGUACAGUACUUUAUCAAGAUGACGGGGUCACAUCGAGUUGUUCUCCUGGCCUGUGGGUCGUUUAACCCGCCCACAAACAUGCAUCUGCGGAUGUUUGAAAUUGCAAGAGAUUUCCUCCACAGAACAACAAAUAAUAAUGUUGUGGUAGGCUUGAUGUCACCAGUUCAUGAAAAGUAUGGGAAAGAGGGACUGGUGAGUUCAAGUGACCGUAUUCAAUUGUUGCGUCUUGCGCUCAACUCCUCGUCGUGGGUGCACGUGAGUGAAUGGGAAACACGUCAAGAUGACUGGACACCUACGAGGGAAGUCGUCCAGUACCACCAGAAUUUGAUUAAGUCCACUUUACGCAAACUGGGCAGCCACUCCUCCAGUAUCAACCGUCAGGGCCGGGAAUUAGUGGACUCGAUUGUGAACGGUAAUGUUGACCCAUCAGUGAAACGGCAGAGGGUGGACGGCACCCCCUCAUGGCUCACUCACUUGUCAGGCUCAACUGACCCUGUCACAGUCAAGCUGCUGUGUGGUGCUGACCUGCUGGAGUCUUUUGCUAAACCAGGCCUCUGGAAGGAUGAGGAUAUUGAGGCUCUGGUUGGAAAGUUUGGUCUUGUUGUUAUUACCAGGGAAGGAAGCAAUCCAUACAAGUUUAUAUACGAGUCCGAUGUUUUGACCCGACACCAGAGGAAUAUCCACAUUGUGACUGAGUGGAUCACAAAUGAAGUUAGCUCCACAAAGGUUCGACGAGCCCUGAGGCGAGGAGACAGUGUCAAAUAUUUAGUGCAGGACUCUGUCAUUGAUUAUAUCUACAAGAAUGCUCUCUACAACACACACAACAAACAGAAGAAUAUUACUGAUCAAUGAGAGUCAGCGAAACCUCAGGGCAGCUGACCAGAUGUGACACACCCUCUCUCUCAUGGCACAAGAGUCUCACUGAGCAUGUUAGUAUGAUGUUACAACUUACAAGAUGAGCAACGGGAACCAUGUAUGUCAUCUGUGAAGAACUUAUGGGGGCGCGUAGGAUGCACAAGGCACAAUGACCCACGGCCAGAAUACAUGCCUGUCUUGGUGUGACAAUAGCUGUAACAAGGGCUGUGACCUGAGAAUUGGAACCUUCCUUCUAGGCUGGACCUGAUGAGAGGUGGCCCAGAUUCUUUGUGAAUUCUCUGAUUAGUGAUGUACUGAAGGUGAUCUGGUCACCAUUAAGCUUUAUAAAAUGAAGUUGUCCUUGAGAUGUGAACUGUAAUACUGUAUAACCAAUUGAUUUUUGUCUGAUGCAGAGAGAUGAGACUUAAAAACUGUUUAGAGUCUUUUAGAAGUACUGUACUGGACUGUACUGUAUAGAAAUAAAUGAGCAUUGAGAAGAUUUGCAAAAAAGCAUGUUUAAAAGAUUACAGUACAGUAUUAUCAAAAUUGUGUUGCAUAGAAAGUAUAUACAGUAGUUGGUAAUUUAUGGACCUCACUAGGUAUAGUAAGUAUAUUUGCUGCAGAUAAAGAAAAGUCAUAUGAAAUCCGAAGCAUCUAAUUAAUAUUUCAACAUGUAAUGUGAAACAAAGUUGAUAAGAAAAUCCAAUAAUUAUUAUUUAAUGAAGAUCUUAUUUGGAUAAAUUUUUUUUAUUUAAUAGGGUAAAUUAAAAUUCAGAAUAUUACUAGUUUUCUCUCUUGCAACUUUCAUCAGAACAAUUUGGUUCAUCAGACAAACUUUAAUGUAAUCUCUCAACACAAUAACUUUAUAGGUCACUUCCUUACCCCAAGAGAGAGUUUCAGGCUACAUCGGUACAGUAUUAGUCAGUACAUUAUCUUGACCAAGUUGUACGUGAAAGGGAGCUGUCAGCUGUACACACUACAGUACAGUACCUGGACUAACUGAAUACUGAAAUGUAUGUCAUGUACUGUUGUAUCUAUUAUAAUUGAAAAGAGUUUGGCAUUUAAAAUUGCCUUGGUCUGAUUGUAAGGUCUGAUAUUUACUCUCAUGUGACAUAUAAUCUACCACUACUGCACGCUUGAUGGCACACGCUGCAGUUAUAACUCUGCAUUAUCAUAUUAUAUGGCCACUUCUUCACUGGUCAACUUACUGAUGCAUCAUUGACUCAGUGGCACUUUGUGUCUGUGUUAAUUAUUUAUUGUUAGUCAGUGCCAAUGACCUUCACUUGAGUGACUGUAGUUCAGUGUUAACAUCAAGCUGUUGUUGUUAUUCAUUCAUUUAUUUUAUACCAGAUUUUUUUUUAUGUCAUCCUGUUAUUGUAAACUGACAUGAUUAGAAUUUGAUAGAUGCUUCUCUUUAAACCUGAUUUGAAGGACUUGUGAAAUUUGAUUACCGUAGACAUAAAUUUAAUGGGGUAAAAUAUUAAGAGAAUUAGCUAAUGACGUGGCAAGACCUUAGAAACUUGUUUAUUAUGGCAAGGCGCAGAAAAUCUAACAUGUCCUUUAUUACUUACUGUAAUGAACCUAGAGUGGUGAAGAGGAUAAAGUAAAGUAAAAUAUGAACUGUGACCAAUAUGGACAAAAUGAUGCAUAUGCGGCAUGAAAAAUACACUGUGAAGGACUUUGGGAUAAAAAGAGUGUCCACAUGUUAUAUUAAAGACAUUUGGACUGAAUGGAAGAGUAACCUGCAAGACAUACUAUUACUGUGUACAAGAUUAACUGAGGUUCGUGGGAUACAAGUAAUAGAUUUGCAGAGUUGUAGGAGACAUGUGCGACUUGGGAGACUGCAUGGCACCUAAUUUCUGAGAAUUGUAUACUGUAUGUUGGACUUGUGGACCCUUAUAAGACAUGAGGGAAAUUUGGACUAAAUUAGACAUGAGGACUAAGGAUUCAUGCACUAUGUAAAUUGAUUACCGCUAAAUAAUUUGAUACAACAAACUCUUUAGAUUUUGAAGUUAUUAUAAAGAAAUGAUUGUAUUUUGAUGGUUGACAAACUCACUUGGCGUGAGCACAAAUUCCAUGAUUUACUAACUUAUAUCAAACUGAAGUCAAUUACCAGUAAUUUCAAUAUUACCAUCUACCAUUUUGAUGUAACAAUUUGUUAAGAUUAAUCCAAUUACCGUACUGUACAGUUCUUAUUUUUGUAGCUUGUAUUUUUCAGACUUUCAAAAUGCUAGAAUUGUUGAUUCACAAAUGAACUUAGUGCCUAGGUAGGGCAACUUAUUGCCAAUGUAGGGUAACUUACUGUCCUUUAGGAUAAUUUGACAUCUUGUCGAAAUAACUGGAUACUGUAUGCUGCUGGGAAGCUUUCUUAUAUUUUACAUUAUUAUUUUGGCUUAUUUAGGACUCUGAAAUAAUUAUAUAAGAUUUAGAUUGGUUUAUUUCACAACUUAUCUCAAAUGAGCAUUAUACAACUUCAACUCAGUGACUUGUUACAUCAAUCAGUAAUCUUUGUACUGUAUUUCACUAAAGUAAUUUGAUAACUCAGUCAUUAGAGCCAUACUGUACUCUAUUCUAUUAAUAUACUAACUUUGCCAUUUCAAUUUCUCACCAAAUUAAUUUAGGUGUCUUCCUUGGCUCUAUGUCUCAAUUGAGUUAUUUAGUGUCUCAGUGUGAUGCUCAUGUAACCCAAGUCUUAUUUAAGCAUUGUAAUGGCUCACAUAUUACCUCAUUUGGUCAUCCUAAGUGUCUCAGUAACUUUGUGACUUGUUGACAUAUAUAUAUAUAUAUACUGUAUGUAAAAUAGCCCCUACGGUAAAAUACAGAAAGUAUACAUAAAUUAAUAUUGCAUCAAACUAACUGAACAAUUAUUGAUAUACCUGUAGUAAUUAUCCAUGUUAGUUUGGCAACUGAAGUAUUUUCCUUGCUUUUUUGUUUCAAUUAGUGACCAAAUAAAAUUUAUGAAGAAAGACAAUUAGUACAGUACUGUACUGUACUAUAUAAAUCCUAUAUUAUUUAGCAUUUUUCUAUGUGUAGUAAAUUAUUUGUGGGCAAGAUGGAAAUGAAUUUAUGAGAGCCUUGCAAAACCAGUGCACAAAUUGUUUUUAACACCUGUGCUGUAUCACCGCCAUAAUUAGAAAAAAUACAAGAGAUCUUGCAGAUGUUAGUCAGUGUUGACUCACCAGUGGUUCAUAAUACAUAUCAAUAUAGCACUGUUUAUGUAAAGUCCAUUACCCUAUAUAAAACUGUAUAGGUUUGAUCAUGUCCAAAUGAGUUGCCGCUUGUGUGAAGGAAUAUACAGUACUGUAGUUUUGCCAAUGACAUGACUGCAAAGCUGAUUCAAGUGUGCAUAAUAAUAGUUCUGGUUAUGUUGUGGCCACUGUGCUGCCUCCGUUGUUCAGGAUCAUAAGUGUAUCUACAUAUCUACCACAAGUACUGACUAGUAUGCUGGAUAGUGUGUGUAGUUUUGAUAUGACCUCUGUUGGUUUGGAAAACUUUCUACAAACUAGCAGUGAAAUCGUAUUUGACAGAAGAUUAGCACUUGUUGAUGGGCUGUUUAUUUUGUUGCCAGUACAGGUAUUAUGUAAUAUGAGUGCAGUAAUCAUACUGGAUAAUAAAA